UUGUCCGGAAUUAUUGGGCGUAAAGCGCUCGUAGGCGGCUUGUCACGUCGGGUGUGAAAGCCCGGGGCUUAACCCCGGGUCUGCAUUCGAUACGGGCUAGCUAGAGUGUGGUAGGGGAGAUCGGAAUUCCUGGUGUAGCGGUGAAAUGCGCAGAUAUCAGGAGGAACACCGGUGGCGAAGGCGGAUCUCUGGGCAGUACCUGACGCUGAGGAGCGAAAGUGUGGGGAGCGAACAGG
rnacentral:rRNA from 1 species